UGGAGAGUUUGAUCCUGGCUCAGGACGAACGCUGGCGGCGUGCCUAAUACAUGCAAGUCGAGCGGACUUUAAAAGCUUGCUUUUAAAGUUAGCGGCGGACGGGUGAGUAACACGUGGGCAACCUGCCUGUAAGACUGGGAUAACUUCGGGAAACCGGAGCUAAUACCGGAUAAUCCUUUUCUACACAUGUAGAAAAGCUGAAAGACGGUUUACGCUGUCACUUACAGAUGGGCCCGCGGCGCAUUAGCUAGUUGGUGAGGUAACGGCUCACCAAGGCAACGAUGCGUAGCCGACCUGAGAGGGUGAUCGGCCACACUGGGACUGAGACACGGCCCAGACUCCUACGGGAGGCAGCAGUAGGGAAUCUUCCGCAAUGGACGAAAGUCUGACGGAGCAACGCCGCGUGAGUGAUGAAGGUUUUCGGAUCGUAAAACUCUGUUGUUAGGGAAGAACAAGUACAAGAGUAACUGCUUGUACCUUGACGGUACCUAACCAGAAAGCCACGGCUAACUACGUGCCAGCAGCCGCGGUA
rnacentral:rRNA from 2 species